rnacentral:rRNA from 1 species
AGAGUUUGAUCAUGGCUCAGGACGAACGCUGGCGGCGUGCCUAACACAUGCAAGUCGAGCGGGAUCCAUCCAGUGCAACACUGGGGAAGAUCUAGCGGCGAACGGGUGAGUAACACGUGAGAAACUUGCCCCGGAGUUCGGGAUAACCCGAGGAAACUCGAGCUAAUACCGAAUGCCCUCUUCUGAUCGCAUGGUCGGAUGAGGAAAGAUUCAUCGCUCCGGGAGAGUCUCGCGGCCUAUCAGCUAGUUGGUGGGGUAACGGCCCACCAAGGCAUCGACGGGUAGCUGGUCUGAGAGGACGAUCAGCCACACUGGGACUGAGACACGGCCCAGACUCCUACGGGAGGCAGCAGUGGGGAAUCUUGCGCAAUGGGCGAAAGCCUGACGCAGCAACGCCGCGUGCGGGAUGACGGCCUUCGGGUUGUAAACCGCUUUCAGCAGGGACGAAAUUGACGGUACCUGCAGAAGAAGCCCCGGCCAACUACGUGCCAGCAGCCGCGGUAACACGUAGGGGGCGAGCGUUGUCCGGAUUUAUUGGGCGUAAAGAGCUCGUAGGCGGCUCACUAAGUCGGGUGUGAAACCUCCAGGCUCAACCUGGAGACGCCACCUGAUACUGGUGUGGCUAGAGUCCGGUAGGGGAGCGUGGAACUCCUGGUGUAGCGGUGAAAUGCGCAGAUAUCAGGAAGAACACCAGCGGCGAAGGCGGCGCUCUGGGCCGGAACUGACGCUGAGGAGCGAAAGCGUGGGUAGCAAACAGGAUUAGAUACCCUAGUAGUCC